rnacentral:tRNA from 1 species
AACUAUAUAGUUUAUAUAAAACACUAAAUUGCAAAUUUAAUUAUUAAAUCAUAAGAU